AAAAUUUAUUGGCAAAUGUUAUGACCUUGAUUCAAAAUCGUUUUUCUGGAGAAGAUGUGAAUGACAUAAUCCAAGCUGCGCGACAGAUUCCCGAUGCUUCUAGUGCUCCUAAUAAUUUGAAUUCUCCUAGUUCAAACAACAAUGAAGAUAAUGAAAAAGGUGAAGAUUAAAAGCUAUUUUGUUGAUGAGGAUGAAGUUUUGGCAAUUAGGUGGACGUGAUUUUCUUAAUUUUUUUGAGAUGAUUAUAUAAGACUUUGUUAU